CAAAGCCCUUAUCAGUUACCUUCACCCCAUUUACACUGUUCUUGUUUCCUUUCUACCUCCCCUAGGAAAGAUUUUGUCAUAAUUCAGGAUCAUGCCAAGAAGCUGACCCAGUUACGUGAGCAGCUAGGCAAAGGGAGAGAUGCCUCUUUGUCCCUUGAGCACCAUCUGGAGUUUCUUCUCACCCACGAUGACCCUGAGGACUAUCAGGGUCAAGGCUACAUACAACAACUGGCUCAGGGGUGCAAGAUGGCUGCGAAUCUUGUCCUGAUGCUCAGUGAAGGAAAUAAUGAACGAGGAAAUAAUGAAAAAGAAGAAACAGAGCUUCUUUCUAAAAUGGAUGAUCAGGAUGAGUAAGAUAUACAGGGUCACUGAGGCACCAAGAGGAAUAUGAAUCACAUUCAUGAUGCAAAGGGGAAUGUAAACUUCUGUUUUUAGCAGUUUCAUUCCACCAAUCCACCUUGCCAAUGUCCUUUUUGCAAAUUUCUAUAUUUUUCUUAUGAAGAGGAGUUGGUUUGAGUAAACCUCAGAGGUUUCUUGUUAUCCUAGAUCACUCCUGUCCUCUUGUGUAUGGUCAUAUUUACAUUACCUUCAGGUGAUUGUCAGAAAUUUUAGUCUGAAAGGCAACUAGGGG
rnacentral:lncRNA from 1 species